rnacentral:rRNA from 1 species
GACGAACGCUGGCGGCGUGCUUAACACAUGCAAGUCGAACGGAAAGGCCCUGCUUUUGUGGGGUGCUCGAGUGGCGAACGGGUGAGUAACACGCGAGUAACCUGUCCUUGACUUUGGGAUAACUUCAGGAAACUGGGGCUAUUAUCGGAUAGGAGCUCCUGCUGCAUGGUGGGGGUUGGAAAGUUUCGGCGGUUGUGGAUGGACUCGCGGCUUAUCAGCUUGUUUGUGGGGUAGUGGCUUACCAAGGCUUUGACGGGUAGCCGGCCUGGGAGGGUGACCGGCCACAUUGGGACUGAGAUACGGCCCAGACUCCUACGGGAGGCAGCAGUGGGGAAUAUUGCACAAUGGGCGGAAGCCUGAUGCAGCAACGCCGCGUGCGGGAUGACGGCCUUCGGGUUGUAAACCGCUUUCGCCUGUGACGAAGCGUGAGUGACGGUAAUGGGUAAAGAAGCACCGGCUAACUACGUG